CAGUCGACUGCUACUUGAAUUAUCAAGGCAUUAAAUAUGUAUGCACAUAACUAGACGCGCGUAAUAUCAGUCACCCGCAUAUAUAGCACGUGUUUCAAAGUCGACAUAAGCACAUAGGUUACAUACAUGCAUUGUAUCCCCACUCUCGGUGACAUAUGAGCCAGCAAUGUUAACUACCUAUUCAAAUACACAAAUCACACACAUGGCUGAUCCCCACGUACGGUGGGUCACUACUUGUAUUAGCGACUCCACACGCUCGUCUUCCCGCACGGGAGGUAAAAUAGUACAGUACCGGUGCGGCUUCCGCACGAGUUAGAUGAAAUGUACGCACGCACAUUGAAACACGAUCCAAUUCCAGUAACGUAGACUCACACGACUCAAUGUGAGUCAGUUACGUGUUACGCCACCUCCAGAGAAACCUUUUAUUAUAUAUUUUAGAUAUUUUCAACGAAGUCGGCUAAAGAGCCGCGUCGUCUUUAGUCUUAUUGAAUUUGCGGCUCGCCAGGUCGAGGUGAUCCUGAAAACGAUCUGUGGGAAACUUUACGUUGCUGUGUGUAAAUCGAAUUCAACGAUUCCUCGAUAACUUUCAACUGCGUGGGUUAUUGACAAUGAACUUGAGUCGGAGCGAGUGUGAAUUUUUUGUUUGUUUUUAUAUACCGUGAAAGUGCGUGGAUAGUCGUGUUCUUCGUAUCGCGGUGGUAUGUAUACAGUUUACGCAAGGUGAAAAGUCGAGGAAUACCACGCAGAAAUGUCGGGCACUAUCAAGAGACGGAAGAGUUGGUACCAGAAAGCCGAGUCUGGUAUAAAGCUGGACACAUGGUUCGGUCGGCCGAAAAAAUCGGGUCGUGGGGGUGGGGUCAGAGGUGGCACUGGCCACAACACUAUCCCCCGCCCCCACUCUGGUGAUGACUUCAAUGAAAUCGAACAGCAGGCAUCCAUCAUUGAGAAUAUGGACGAGGAGACUAUGAAUGAUAAGUUUGAAGAGAUGCUGGCAAACAUGAACUUAACAGAAGAGAAAAAGGAACCGUUGCGACAGCAACCGGAGGAAAAGAAGAGAGCGAUGCUAGUCCUGCACUUUAAAGGCACCGUACAAGAAAACAAAUCGAAGUUUGACAAACCGGCGGAUUACAUACAGUACCUGGCUCAACCUGAUCUGAGCGUUAAUAAAAUCUACAAUUGCAUCGAAUCUCUCAGGAUUGCGCUCACGAAUAAUCCAUUGAGUUGGGUUCAAGAAUUUGGGACGAAAGGUCUUAAACAAGUUCUCGCCACACUUAACGAAUGCUAUCGAAAUGCCUUCAUAUGUUACGAUAGCGACAAUCGUUACGAACGAAUACAGUACGAAUGUAUUCGUUGCCUAAAAGCUAUAAUGAACAAUACCGUGGGAAUAAAGGAGAUGCUUGCACAUCAUGAAGCGCUGACGAUAGUGGCAAGAUCUUUGGAACCUAGUAAACCGUCAGUAAUGCACGAAGCUGUAAAACUUCUUGGUGCGGUCUGCCUUAUUUCAAGCGACAGCCACAAAAAAGUUCUGGAUGCUAUUACCAUGAAUGGAGAAUUCAAGGGAAGAGAGAGGUUCCUACCAAUUGUUCAGGGAUUAAUGAACAAGAAAAAUGAGAAUUUGAGGGUGGUAUGUCUUCAACUCAUCAAUUCGAUAAUCUCAUCCGCGGAAGACUUGGACUUCCGGUUGCACCUGCGAAACGAAAUAAUGCGAGUAGGACUAGCCGAUAUUCUCGAAACGUUGGAAGGAGACGAGUCUGAAGAUUUGUCAACCCACUUGAAAAUUUUUAACGACUACAAGGAGGAAGACUACGAGGAGUUUGUACAAAGAUUUGAUCAUGUGAGGUUGGAAUUAGAUGACGUUAAUGACUGUUUCGAAGUGGUGAAGAACAUGGUGAUGGAUACCAUGGCCGAGCCUUAUUUCCUGUCCAUUCUUCAACACCUACUCUUCAUCAGAGACGAUGCUUUAGUGAGGCCGGCUUAUUAUAAAUUAAUAGAGGAAUGCGUGUCGCAAAUCGUACUACACCGUUCGGGCUGUGAUCCAGAUUUUAGUGCAACGAAACGUUUUCAAAUAGACGUUCAGCCACUGAUCGAUACAUUAGUUGAAAAAUCGAAGGCUGAGGAUGACCGUCGCGUUGCAGAAAUGACACAGAAAUUAGAAGAAGCUAUUGCUAGCAAACAGGAAACGGAGGCGAAAUUGCAACAUGCUGAAAAUAAAAUCAAAGAAUUAGAACAAGGAACUGGUAGAUCAGGGAAUACGCCAGCUAAAGUUGGGGGUGGCCCCCCGCCUCCUCCUUUACCCGGUAUGAUUGGAGCACCUCCACCGCCUCCAAUGCCUGGCAUGGGUGGACCACCACCACCCCCCAUGCCAGGUAUGGGAGGCCCACCACCACCUCCAAUGCCAGGAAUGGGUGGUCCACCUCCACCACCAAUGCCUGGAAUGGGGGGUCCUCCGCCACCUCCUAUGCCAGGUAUGGGUGGUCCACCUCCACCUCCGAUGAUGGGAGGUCCCAGACCUCCAAUGCCUUUAGCGGUUCAAGUGCUACCACACGGAUUGAAACCCAAAAAGAAAUGGGAUUUGGAAGGUCCACUGAAGAGAGCCAAUUGGAAGGCAAUUUUACCGCAAAGGCUCACAGAAAAGUCGUUCUGGGUAAAAGUACAAGAGGAUAAACUCGCGAGUCCAGAUAUCCUCAAAGGUUUAGCUCAACAAUUUGCUUCAAAACCAUCAGGGCGGAAGAUUGAUGAUGUUGUUGACAAGUCUACUGGAACGAAAAAAGUUAAAGAUCUUAAAGUUCUUGACGGAAAGGCAGCACAAAACAUCUCUAUUCUUCUUGGUGGAACACUGAAACACAUGUCUUAUGAGGAAGUUAAAUCUUGCUUAUUGAGAUGCGAAGGUCCAGUAGUUUCAGAUAACGUUUUGCAGGGAUUAUUACAGUAUUUGCCGCCGCCUGAUCAACUCACAAAGUUACAGACUUAUAAAGAACAGUACGAGGAUUUAACUGAAGCUGAACAGUUUUGUGUAACGAUAUCAACCAUUAAGAGGUUACAGCCAAGACUGAAAUCAUUAAGUUUUAUGUUGCGUUAUGAAGAAUUAGUACAAGACGUGAAACCAGACAUUGUAGCUGGUACUGCAGCCUGCGAAGAGGUGAAGAGUAGCAAGAAGUUUGCGAAAAUUCUCGAAUUAAUUCUGUUACUUGGAAAUUAUAUGAAUUCUGGUUCGAAAAACGGUGAAGCUUUCGGCUUUGAAAUUAGUUUUCUUACAAAGCUUACGAGUACGAAAGACGUAGAUAAUAAACAGACCCUCAUGCAUUAUUUGGUAAAUACGAUAGAAAGAAAAUUCCCUGAGUGUGUAAGCUUCUCUGAGGAAUUGGCCCACGUCGACAGAGCAAGUCGUGUCUCGUUGGAACAAAUACAAGGCACACUUCGUCAAAUGGAUGCAAACUUGCGCAAUCUUGAGCAGGACCUUGCGAAUUCAAAAGUUCCGCAAAGUAACGAAGACAAGUUCGUCGAAGUUAUGACUCCAUUCGCUAAGAAAGCUAGAGAGUCGUAUGAGGUCAUGCAAAAUAUGUUCAAGAAUAUGGACAGUCUCUACACGGACAUUUCGGAAUUCUUUGCUUUCGAUAAGCAAAAAUAUACUAUCGAAGAAUUCUUUACUGAUAUUAAAACUUUUAAAGACAACUUCAUGCAAGCACAAAAGGAAAUAAUGAAGAUACGAGAAGGAGAAGAGAAGCAAAGAAGGGCUCGGGAAGCUCGGGAGAAAGCGGAAGCGGAACGUGCUGCUCGUGCAGAACGGAAACGUGCGUUAGUUGAUAUGAAUGCUCAUGAGACGCAGGAAGGUGUCAUGGAUAGUCUGAUGGAAGCUCUUCAAACAGGAUCUGCGUUUAGCAGGCCAGAUCAAAGACGUAAACGACAGACGCGUGCCGCUGGCGAAAUCGUUUAAAAUGGGUUGUCAGCAAAAAGAAGAGCACAACUGAACCGGAGUCGAUCGCGUACUGGACUGGUUGGAACCGGUUUAUUAGGAAGAGAAUUAUCCACAGAGCUCCUGAGCUAUUCAUAGCGAAUAAAAGAUUCCUGACUCCGUCCUAACUUUGAUGCUGUGAUGUUUUACGCUUGAGUCAAGCAAGCGUUUCGAAAAAACGCUGAAGCGAAGGUGAUCGAAAUAGGUGUUUCCAAUUGGACAGUGUCCAAUGAACGCACAAUCCGUCAUUAGAUUCCGAUAAUUGAUAUACCACCGUAGGCCUCUUAUAAAUAUUUUCAGCUGCAAUUAAGCCUUCAGUUCAAUCGGAUCUAUCGAAGUCUUCCCUGUGUUUCGCCGAGUGUCUGCCCACUUUGAAUCUUGUAUGUAAGCGUUAAAAAUUUAUUUAGUAAGAUUAUUGCAAACGCUUUUUGUGUAUUUGAUGAAGGGUAAGCUAUACUUUUCUUAUGAUAUUGUAAAAGGUAGCUUGGAAGAAUGCCAGUUAUCUAAAGGAAUAGUGUGCGAAGUACUAGCUUCUAUAUAUAAAUGCAUAUUUAUACCAGUACUUGUAUUCACGAGCGAAUAUUAAUAUUGUAAGUAGUUCUCAGCGAACGGCAUGUUUUACUGAAUGCGAAUGAAUGACAAGGAUGUAGUUUAAGCUGAAAUUCACAACGAGGGAUAAGGUAUAUACGUAUGUGGCUGUCGUAGCCGCUAGAUAUUAAGGAUAGCAUUGUUACUGAAAAGAAUCAAUCUUUUUCCAUCUACUUUAUUUAAUUUUAUUUUUUGUAAAUUCUUUUAUGAUAACUUGCACUCUUUCUCCUUCCACAUACUUUACACUUUUCUGACUAAUGCGAAAGUUAUGUAUAUAGUGCAAUUUACCAGCAGGUGUUUAUCCUGCGCUGGCACAAAUGCCUUUAUUUUUUAACGAGAGAGAGCCUUUUAUAUUUUUUAUGAAAAGUAAUUUUUUUCUUUGCAUUCAGCUAUAAUCUUGACGGUCGCGGUUAGAUUAUGCAAGGCGAUUAAAUACAAUUUUCUCGGUAUAAUGUAUAUGAACGCGCAACAUGUCAAUUGCUAUUGCAAGCUGAAUAUGAACUGCCACGACUUGUUUCAGGCACGACUGUACUGAUUAACUAAAUUCGAAUAUAUAAAAGUCUAAUUACUAAUACGAUUUGUAAUUGUCUUUUUUAAAAGAAAGAUUGUAAAUCUCAUACUGCCAGAUAUACCUUAUACACAAUAUCUCUAUAACAUCUGGUUAUUGUGCCAAAUUUAGUAGGAAAACAAAGUAUUUGGUAGUGCUGUCAGUCAAUCUAUUAAUUCAUGAGUACAAUAUAAGCAUGGCGUUUGAAAAAAAAUUCGAUACUGUUGUUCAAAAAAGAAAGAAGUGUAUAUAGAGCUUAUUCGAUUCUGUGAAAGUUUCUAGUAUAAACUUACGAUCGUGCCUACAAUUUAAUCUGUUGUAAUAAUAAAUUUAUUUUUUGAAUCUCAAAA